rnacentral:rRNA from 1 species
GACGAACGCUGGCGGCGUGCUUAACACAUGCAAGUCGAACGGAAAGGCCCUGCUUUUGUGGGGUGCUCGAGUGGCGAACGGGUGAGUAACAAGUGAGUAACCUGCCCUUGACUUUGGGAUAACUUCAGGAAACUGGGGAUAAGACCGGAUAGGAGCUCCUGCUGCAUGGUGGGGGUUGGAAAGUUUAGGCGGUGGGGGAUGGACGGGCGGUUUAUCAGCUUGUUGGGGGGGUAGUGGCUUUCCAAGGUUUUGAAGGUUUGCCGGCCUGAGAGGGUUACCGGCCCCAUGGGGCCUGUGAUCCGGCCCUGACGGCUACGGUAGGCAGCAUUGUGUAACUUCGCCCUAUCGUCGGCAGCCUGAUGGAGCACCUCCUCGUGCUGGAUGUUGGCCUUCUGGUUGUAAUCCGCCUUCGCCUGUGACUAAGCGUGAGCUACGGUAAUGGGUAAAGAAGCACCGGCUAACUACGUG